rnacentral:rRNA from 1 species
AUGGAUGAACAAUGGAUAGUAUUCAGCGACUUCAAUGAAAUUUUAUUCACGCACGAAAAGGAAGGAGGGGCACUCAGAGAGCAAAGAUGUAUGCAAGCAUUCAGGGAUGUUCUGUGCGACUGUGAGCUAGAAGAUUUGGGUGGCACGGGUGAUGCCUACAGAUGGAGUAGAGGGAGAAUAAAGGAAAGGUUGGAUAGAGACAUAUGUAACUCACGGUGGAACCUGCUAUUUCCUAAUGUGGGUGUCAUAAAUGGUGAAAUGACAAAGUCGGAUCAUCAUCCUUUGGUGAUUUAUACUGAAUUAUACACAAAGACGAAUCGGUCCCUGAUGUCUACUACACAACCUUCUUCUUGUAGACGUUGUUGGGCCUCCAAGUGCAGAGGUUUGUAG